rnacentral:rRNA from 1 species
GGGGGGGGGGGGGGGGGGGGGGGGGGGGGGGGGGGGGGGCGGGGCGGGCGGGUAGGGUGGCGCCGUGGUGCGUAGCGGGUGGGCACCGGCCCCUAGGCUGGGGAGAGCGCCCCGAGUGGGGGGCUAACCCCGGGUAAGCGCAGACUGCCAAAGAUUUAUCGCCUUUGGAUGGGCCCGCGUUGGAUUAGCUAGUUGGUAGGGGAAAAGCCUACCAAGGCGACGAUCCAUAGCUGGUCUGAGAGGAUGAUCAGCCACACUGGGACUGAGACACGGCCCAGACUCCUACGGGAGGCAGCAGUGGGGAAUAUUGGACAAUGGGCGAAAGCCUGAUCCAGCAAUGCCGCGUGAGUGAUGAAGGCCUUAGGGUUGUAAAGCUCUUUUACCCGGGAUGAUAAUGACAGUACCGGGAGAAUAAGCUCCGGCUAACUCCGUG